rnacentral:rRNA from 1 species
AUUAAACGCUGGCGGCAUGCCUUACACAUGCAAGUCGAACGGCAGCAUAGGAGCUUGCUCCUGAUGGCGAGUGGCGAACGGGUGAGUAAUAUAUCGGAACGUGCCCUAGAGUGGGGGAUAACUAGUCGAAAGACUAGCUAAUACCGCAUACGAUCUACGGAUGAAAGUGGGGGAUCGCAAGACCUCAUGCUCCUGGAGCGGCCGAUAUCUGAUUAGCUAGUUGGUGGGGUAAAAGCCUACCAAGGCAACGAUCAGUAGCUGGUCUGAGAGGACGACCAGCCACACUGGGACUGAGACACGGCCCAGACUCCUACGGGAGGCAGCAGUGGGGAAUUUUGGACAACGGGGGCAACCCUGAUCCAGCAAUGCCGCGUGAGUGAAGAAGGCCUUCGGGUUGUAAAGCUCUUUUGUCAGGGAAGAAACGGUAGUAGCUAAUAUCUACUACUAAUGACGGUACCUGAAGAAUAAGCACCGGCUAACUACGUGCCAGCAGCCGCCGUAA